GCAUAUCAAUAAGCGGAGGAAAAGAAACCAACAGGGAUUGCCCUAGUAACGGCGAGUGAAGCGGCAACAGCUCAAAUUUGAAAUCUGGCUCUUUUAGGGUCCGAGUUGUAAUUUGCAGAGGGCGCUUUGGCUUUGGCAGCGGUCCAAGUUCCUUGGAACAGGACGUCACAGAGGGUGAGAAUCCCGUACGUGGUCGCUAGCUAUCGCCGUGUAAAGCCCCUUCGACGAGUCGAGUUGUUUGGGAAUGCAGCUCUAAAUGGGAGGUAAAUUUCUUCUAAAGCUAAAUAUUGGCCAGAGACCGAUAGCGCACAAGUAGAGUGAUCGAAAGAUGAAAAGCACUUUGGAAAGAGAGUCAAACAGCACGUGAAAUUGUUGAAAGGGAAGCGCUUGCAGCCAGACUUGCUUGCAGUUGCUCAUCCGGGCUUUUGCCCGGUGCACUCUUCUGUAGGCAGGCCAGCAUCAGUUUGGGCGGUGGGAUAAAGGUCUCUGUCACGUACCUCUCUUCGGGGAGGCCUUAUAGGGGAGACGACAUACCACCAGCCUAGACUGAGGUCCGCGCAUCUGCUAGGAUGCUGGCGUAAUGGCUGUAAGCGGCCCGUCUUGAAACACGGACCAAGGAGUCUAACAUCUAUGCGAGUGUUUGGGUGUCAAGCCCGAGCGCGUAAUGAAAGUGAACGGAGGUGGGAACCCGCAAGGGUGCACCAUCGACCGAUCCUGAAGUUUUCGGAAGGAUUUGAGUAAGAGCAUGGCUGUUGGGACCCGAAAGAUGGUGAACUAUGCUUGAAUAGGGUGAAGCCAGAGGAAACUCUGGUGGAGGCUCGCAGCGGUUCUGACGUGCAAAUCGAUCGUCAAAUUUGGGCAUAGGGGCGAAAGACUAAUCGAACUAUCUAGUAGCUGGUUCCUGCGA
rnacentral:rRNA from 1 species